rnacentral:rRNA from 1 species
UACGUAGGGUGCAAGCGUUGUCCGGAAUUAUUGGGCGUAAAGGCUCGUAGAGCGGUUCGUCGCGUCGGCUGUGAAAUCCCGAGGCUCAACCUCGGGUCUGCAGUCGAUACGGGCAAACUAGAGUAUUGCAGGGGAGACUGGAAUUCCUGGUGUAGCGGUGAAAUGCGCAGAUAUCAGGAGGAACACCGGUGGCGAAGGCGGGUCUCUGGGCAAUAACUGACGCUGAGGAGCGAAAGCGUGGGGAGCGAACAGG